CCAAAAACAAAAAUUCAUGGCUAAUUAUCCACCUGAUGUAAAGGACCCAAUCCAAAUUUAUGCCACUCUGGCAGAAGAAGAGGGUAUUUAACUGUGAGCAAUGCUGAAUGUGAAUGAAGUGUUAGGCUUAUGAAAAUUAGUGAGAAUUUAGGAGACUAAAGCUGUUUGAAGAUUUUAAAGAUGAUCAUAUCAAACAGCCAAGACACACCUGUUGGUGUUUCAACAAGGUGCAGCUGCCCAGGUGCUGACAGUGGGGCUACUGUGUGGCCGUUGAAUGAAGCGAUGCCAGGGCUGCCCCAUGCCGACCCCAAGGGCCCCACUGCAGGACACAGCCGGGCCCCUCACCCAAGAUGGCAGCGCCUCAGGAAAGCCAGAGGAAGGGAGGGCAAACACCGCACAGCAGGGGGCGGUGAGGGGAGCGGUGUGAGGAACGGCCCUGCACAGAUGGCAAAGAGAGGAGAGGGAGCAGCAAGAGUUGUCCUGGCUGUCAAGAUUUCCCUGAAGCUUGUGCAGAGACCAUGUUGGAGCAGGUAUUCAUGUUGCAGCCAUGAAGAACCCCACACUGGAGCAGAUGUAUGUAUCAUGAAUGCAGCUGCAGUCCAUGGGAAGGACUCAUGUGGGAGCAAGGGAGAAAGUGUGAAGAGGGAGGUGCUGUUAUGGACUGACCACAACCCCUAUUGUCCAUGCCCCUACAUCUCUCAGAGGAGGUAG
rnacentral:lncRNA from 1 species